AAUCCAUGCAUUGGGCAUUUACAUAAUAAGUCCUUGAAAAGUUCCCAUGUCUCAUAUAAAUUUGCAUCAUCCAACUGGUUAAAAGAUUAAGUCAUUCUUCGGCU